GAGUGUAAAAACUCCCAAACCAUUGUGAACUUACCACUGUUGCUUCGGCGGCCUCGCCCCGGGCGCGUUCGCGCGGCCCGGACCCAGGCGUCCGCCGGAGGCUUCAAACUCUUGUCUUUUAGUGUAUUUCUGAGUGGCAUAAGCAAAUAAAUCAAAACUUUCAGCAACGGAUCUCUUGGUUCUGGCAUCGAUGAAGAACGCAGCAAAAUGCGAUAAGUAAUGUGAAUUGCAGAAUUCAGUGAAUCAUCGAAUCUUUGAACGCACAUUGCGCCCGCCAGUAUUCUGGCGGGCAUGCCUGUCUGAGCGUCAUUUCAACCCUCAGGACCCGUUCGCGGGACCUGGCGUUGGGGAUCAGCCUGCCCCUGGCGGCGGCUGGCCCUGAAAUACAGUGGCGGUUCCCUCGCGAACUCCUCCGUGCAGUAAUUAAACCUCUCGCGGCAGGAUAGCGGUUGAACCACGCCGUUAAACCCCCCACUUCUCAAGGUUGACCUCAGAUCAGGUAGGAAUACCCGCUGAACUUAAGCAU
rnacentral:rRNA from 1 species